GUUUUUAUAGUUUAAAAAAAACAUUAAUUUUGUAUAUUAAAAAUAUUAUAAAAAUUAAAAACU
rnacentral:tRNA from 1 species